rnacentral:rRNA from 1 species
AGCGAACGCUGGCGGCAGGCCUAACACAUGCAAGUCGAACGGAACCUCCGGGAUUAGUGGCGGACGGGUGUGUCACACGUGGGAACGUGCCCGUUGGUUCGGAACACCUCAGGUAAACUUGAGCUAAUACCGGAUGUGCCCUUCGGGGGAAGGAUUUAUCGCCCUUGGAACGGCCCGCGUCGGUUUAGCGAGUUGGUGAGGUAAGGGCCGACCAAGGGGACGAUCAGUAGCUGGUUUGAGAGGAUGAGCAGCCACACUGGGACGGAGACACGGCCGAGACUCGUAGGGGAGGGAGCGGUGGGGAAUCCUGCGCAAUGGGCGUAAGUCUGACGCAGCCAUGCGGCGUGAAUGAUGAAGGUCUGAGGAUAGUAAAAGUCUUUCAGCGGGGACGAGAAUGACGGUACCCGCAGAAGAAGCUCCGGCUAACUUCGUG